AAGCUGGCGGCUGCUUAUCACAUGCAAGUCGAACGAGACCUUCGGGUCUAGUGGCGCACGGGUGCGUAACGCGUGGGAAUCUGCCCUUAGGUACGGAAUAACUCAGAGAAAUUUGUGCUAAUACCGUAUGAUGUCGAAAGACCAAAGAUUUAUCGCCUAAGGAUGAGCCCGCGUAAGAUUAGCUUGUUGGUGAGGUAAAAGCUCACCAAGGCGACGAUCUUUAGCUGGUCUGAGAGGAUGAUCAGCCACACUGGGACUGAGACACGGCCCAGACUCCUACGGGAGGCAGCAGUGGGGAAUAUUGGACAAUGGGCGAAAGCCUGAUCCAGCAAUGCCGCGUGAGUGAUGAAGGCCUUAGGGUUGUAAAGCUCUUUUACCAGGGAUGAUAAUGACAGUACCUGGAGAAUAAGCUCCGGCUAACUCCGUGCCAGCAGCCGCGGUAAUACGGAGGGAGCUAGCGUUGUUCGGAAUUACUGGGCGUAAAGAGUACGUAGGCGGUGAUUCAAGUCAGAGGUGAAAGCCUGGAGCUCAACUCCAGAACUGCCUUUGAAACUAGAUCGCUAGAAUCAUGGAGAGGUUAGUGGAAUUCCGAGUGUAGAGGUGAAAUUCGUAGAUAUUCGGAAGAACACCAGUGGCGAAGGCGACUAACUGGACAUGUAUUGACGCUGAGGU
rnacentral:rRNA from 1 species